rnacentral:rRNA from 1 species
AAGGCCCCUUCGGGGGUACACGAGUGGCGAACGGGUGAGUAACACGUGAGCAACCUGCCCUUGACUCUGGGAUAACAGUUGGAAACAGCUGCUAAUACCGGAUACGACCCUCGAUGACAUCAUCUGGGGUGGAAAGCGCUUAGCGGUCAAGGAUGGGCUCGCGGCCUAUCAGCUUGUUGGUGAGGUAACGGCUCACCAAGGCUUCGACGGGUAGCCGGCCUGAGAGGGCGACCGGCCACACUGGGACUGAGAUACGGCCCAGACUCCUACGGGAGGCAGCAGUGGGGAAUAUUGCACAAUGGGCGCAAGCCUGAUGCAGCAACGCCGCGUGCGGGAUGACGGCCUUCGGGUUGUAAACCGCUUUCAGUUCCGACGAAGCGCAAGUGACGGUAGGAACAGAAGAAGGACCGGCCAACUACGUGCCAGCAGCCGCGGUGAUACGUAGGAUCCGAGCGUUGUCCGGAAUUAUUGGGCGUAAAGGGCUUGUAGGCGGUUUGUUGCGUCGGAAGUGAAAACUCAGGGCUUAACCCUGAGCCUGCUUCCGAUACGGGCAAACUAGAGGGAUGCAGGGGAGAAUGGAAUUCCUGGUGGAGCGGUGGAAUGCGCAGAUAUCAGGAGGAACACCGGUGGCGAAGGCGGUUCUCUGGGCAUUUCCUGACGCUGAGAAGCGAAAGCGUGGGGAGCAAACAGGCUUAGAUACCCUGGUAGUCCACGCCGUAAACGGUGGGCACUAGGUGUGGGGAACAUUCCACGUUCUCCGUGCCGAAGCUAACGCAUUAAGUGCCCCGCCUGGGGAGUACGGCCGCAAGGCU